AAAAGAAAUUUUCAAUGCAAAAUGGUAAAAAAACAAACAAACCGUAUUUCUUCCUUCCUUUUUUACUUCUUUCCUGAUCUCUUUCUUGGGUAACGGGGAAUCAGGGUUCGAUUCCGGAGAGGGAGCCUGAGAAACGGCUACCGCAUCCAAGGAAGGCAGCAGGCGCGCAAAUUACCCACUCCCGACCCGGGGAGGUAGUGACGAAAAAUAACAAUACAGGACUCUUUCGAGGCCCUGUAAUUGGAAGGAGUACACUUUGAAUCCUUUAGGGCCGCCAGGUUCCCCCCCGGCCCCCCCGGCGUGGUGCACAUUGUGUAAGCCGCCAGUCGCCAAGAAGACUGGCGACCGCAGUGGCGGUUGCUGCACACACCCUAGCCACUGGCACGUUUGCGUCCCACUUGGACCCAGCCGCCUCGGCAGCCUGUCCCUUCUGCCCGGGGGGUGUUGAGGAGACCCUCUUUCAUGCUUCCUGGACUGUCCCCGCCGGCAGCCGCUCUUUGCCACCCUCGGGCCGCUGCUGCAGGCGCUGGGCAGGAGCUUUUCGGAGACCACCUACGUGUGCUCCUACCCGUACCGGGCGGCUGAGAAGGGCCCCGUCUGCCUGGCCAACUUUGUACUGGGUCAGGCCAAGCUGGCCGUCCUCAAGAGCCGCUGGAACCGGCUUGCCGGGACCGGCUCAGACGAUGCCCUGCGGCUUUUCCGCCUCCUGGUGCAGGCGCGCCUCUCGCUGGAGUUUGAGCACGCUGUGCUCCGGCGGGCAGUGCCCACCUUUGAGCCGCGCUGGGCCCUUGAGGGCGCGCUGUGCCGGGUGGAGGACGGCCGUCUCAAAUACGCGCUCUGAUGUCACGACCGGUCUGGGCGACCGGGCUGGCUCGGUGUCGAACUGCGACUUCCAGCUCGUGCCGCAUCCUGGGCCCUCACCAGGCUGCUUUUUUGCUCUCUUUUGUGUGGAAAUUGAAGGUUUUGUUACGUGCGUGAUGGGACGGAGCAGGGUCUGAAUUGUUUAUGUAUGUAGUUAUGA
rnacentral:lncRNA from 1 species